rnacentral:rRNA from 1 species
GACGAACGCUGGCGGCGUGCUUAACACAUGCAAGUCGAACGGUGAAGCAGAGCUUGCUCUGUGGAUCAGUGGCGAACGGGUGAGUAACACGUGAGUAACCUGCCCUUGACUCUGGGAUAAGCGUUGGAAACGACGUCUAAUACCGGAUACGAGCUGAGACCGCAUGGUCAUCAGUUGGAAAGAUUUUUUGGUCAAGGAUGGACUCGCGGCCUAUCAGCUUGUUGGUGAGGUAAUGGCUCACCAAGGCGACGACGGGUAGCCGGCCUGAGAGGGUGACCGGCCACACGGGGACUGAGACACGGCCCAGACUCCUACGGGGGGCAGCAGUGGGGAAUAUUGCACAAUGGGCGCAAGCCUGAUGCAGCAACGCCGCGGGGGGGAGGACGGCCUUCGGGUUGUAAACCUUUUUUAGUAGGGAAGAAGCGAAAGGGGCGGUACCUGCAGAAAAAGCACCGGCUAACUACGU